GACGAACGCUGGCGGCGUGCUUAACACAUGCAAGUCGAACGAUGACGCCCGAGCUUGCUCGGUCUGAUUAGUAGCGAACGGGUGAGUAACACGUGAGCAACCUGCCCUUCACUCUGGGAUAACCUCGGGAAAUCGGGGCUAAUACCGGAUAUGAGCUCCUGUCGCAUGGCGGGUGUUGGAAAGUUUUUCGGUGAAGGAUGGGCUCGCGGCCUAUCAGUUUGUUGGUGAGGUAGCGGCUCACCAAGGCGAUGACGGGUAGCCGGCCUGAGAGGGCGACCGGCCACACUGGGACUGAGACACGGCCCAGACUCCUACGGGAGGCAGCAGUGGGGAAUAUUGCACAAUGGGCGAAAGCCUGAUGCAGCGACGCCGCGUGAGGGAUGACGGCCUUCGGGUUGUAAACCUCUUUCAGCAGGGAAGAAGCGAAAGUGACGGUACCUGCAGAAGAAGCGCCGGCUAACUACGUG
rnacentral:rRNA from 1 species